CCUACGGGAGGCAGCAGUGAGGAAUAUUGGUCAAUGGCCGGAAGGCUGAACCAGCCAAGCAGCGUGAAGGAUGACGGCGCUACGCGUCGCAAACCUCUUUUGCCGGGGUACAAAAGGCCGGACGCGUGCGGUUCUGAGGGUACCCGGAGAAAAAGCAUCGGCUAACUCCGUGCCAGCAGCCGCGGUAAUACGGAGGAUGCGAGCGUAAUCCGGAUUCAUUGGGUUUAAAGGGUGCGCAGGCGGGUGUUUAAGCCGUUGGUGAAAUCGCGGGGCUCAACCCCGACGAGCCGUGGGAACUGGGGGCCUUGAGUGCGGUGGAGGCAUGCGGAAUGCGCGGUGUAGCGGUGAAAUGCAUAGAUAUCGCGCAGAACCCCGAUUGCGAAGGCAGCGUGCAGUGCCGCCACUGACGCUGAGGCACGAAAGAGUGGGUAUCGAACAGGAUUAGAUACCCUAGUAGUC
rnacentral:rRNA from 1 species